ACGAUAGUACGAACAAUUCGAGUACCUGUCUAGAACCGAAACCGCAUUUUGUAAACCAUAUGAGCCAUCUAAUUAGAGCCAUGCCGAACCUCUGUCCUUUAAUAGUCACCAAAAUAAGUACACGGGAGAAACGCCUUUGGCCUUUCAUUUCCUUUACAUUUACAAUGUUUAUGCAAAGGAAUUAAACCGGGUAGCUUAAUUUGUUGGAGUUUCUAUAGUUUUUC
rnacentral:lncRNA from 1 species